rnacentral:rRNA from 1 species
ACCCCGUUACUUGGAACUGUGGUAAUUCUAGAGCUAAUACAUGCCGACAGAGUUCCGACCAACUGCGCAGAUGUGCGGCGGCCUCGGUCGUCGUCGCUGCGCGGUUCGGAAGGAACGCUUUUAUUAGAUCAAAACCGGCCAGACGGUGGUUUCGCGUUCGCGCGUCUCCAUCGUAUGCGGCCCGCGCAAAGACUUGGUGACUCUGAAUAACUUCGAGCUGAUCGCACGGUCCUAGUACCGGCGACGUAUCUUUCAAAUGUCUGCCUUAUCAACUGUCGACGGUAGGUUCGACGCCUACCGUGGUGGUAACGGGUAACGGGGAAUCAGGGUUCGAUUCCGGAGAGGGAGCCUGAGAAACGGCUACCACAUCCAAGGAAGGCAGCAGGCGCGCAAAUUACCCACUCCCAGCUCGGGGAGGUAGUGACGAAAAAUAACGAUACGGGACUCAUUCGAGGCCCCGUAAUCGG